CCUACGGGGGGCAGCAGUGGGGAAUAUUGCACAAUGGGCGCAAGCCUGAUGCAGCCAUGCCGCGUGUGUGAAGAAGGCCCUCGGGUUGUAAAGCACUUUCAGCGGGGAGGAAGGCGGUGAGGUUAAUAACCUCAUCGAUUGACGUUACCCGCAGAAGAAGCACCGGCUAACUCCGUGCCAGCAGCCGCGGUAAUAUGGAGGGUGCAAGCGUUAAUCGGAAUUACUGGGCGUAAAGCGCACGCAGGCGGUCUGUCAAGUCGGAUGUGAAAUCCCCGGGCUCAACCUGGGAACUGCAUUCGAAACUGGCAGGCUAGAGUCUUGUAGAGGGGGGUAGAAUUCCAGGUGUAGCGGUGAAAUGCGUAGAGAUCUGGAGGAAUACCGGUGGCGAAGGCGGCCCCCUGGACAAAGACUGACGCUCAGGUGCGAAAGCGUGGGGAGCAAACAGGAUUAGAUACCCUAGUAGUC
rnacentral:rRNA from 1 species